UACGUAGGGUGCAAGCGUUGUCCGAAGUUACUGGGCGUAAAGCGCGCGUAGGCGGGUGGGUAAGUCCGCUGUGAAAGCCCGGAGCUCAACUCCGGAGGGUCGGUGGAUACUGCCCAUCUUGAAGGUGCUAGGGGGAGAUGGAAUUACCGGUGUAGCGGUGAAAUGCGUAGAGAUCGGUAGGAACACCAGUGGCGAAGGCGGUCUCCUGGAGCAUACUUGACGCUGAGGCGCGAAAGCUGGGGGAGCGAACGGG
rnacentral:rRNA from 1 species